rnacentral:rRNA from 1 species
UUAAGUGACUAAGCGUACAAGGUGGAUGCCUUGGCAAUCAGAGGCGAUGAAGGACGUGCUAAUCUGCGAAAAGCUUGGAUGAGUCGAUAAGAGGCGUUUAAUCCAAGAUGUCCGAAUGGGGAAACCCAGUAGAUGAAGAAUCUACUAUCACUUACUGAAUCCAUAGGUAAGUGAGGCAAACCGGGAGAACUGAAACAUCUAAGUACCCCGAGGAAAAGAAAUCAACCGAGAUUUCGUUAGUAGCGGCGAGCGAACGCGAAGGAGCCUGUUAGUGAUAAUGACAGAGACAGAGGAACAAGCUGGGAAGCUUGGCGAUACAGGGUGAUAGCCCCGUACUCGAAGUCCAGGUCAUGGUACUAAGCUAACGAUAAGUAGGGCGGGACACGUGAUAUCCUGUUUGAAGAUGGGGGGACCAUCCUCCAAGGCUAAAUACUCCUGAUUGACCGAUAGUGAACCAGUACUGUGAAGGAAAGGCGAAAAGAACCCCGGUGAGGGGAGUGAAAUAGAACCUGAAACCUUGUACGUACAAGCAGUGGGAGCCCUUUAAGGGUGACUGCGUACCUUUUGUAUAAUGGGUCAGCGACUUAUAUUUUGUAGCGAGGUUAACCGAAUAGGGGAGCCGAAGGGAAACCGAGUCUUAACUGGGCGUCUAGUUGCAAGGUAUAGACCCGAAACCCGGUGAUCUAGCCAUGGGCAGGUUGAAGGUUGGGUAACACUAACUGGAGGACCGAACCGACUAAUGUUGAAAAAUUAGCGGAUGACUUGUGGCUGGGGGUGAAAGGCCAAUCAAACCGGGAGAUAGCUGGUUCUCCCCGAAAUCUAUUUAGGUAGAGCCUUGAGCGGACACCUUCGGGGGUAGAGCACUGUUUCGGCUAGGGGUCCAUCCCGGAUUACCAACCCGAUGCAAACUACGAAUACCGAAGAGUGAUACUCAGGAGACACACGGCGGGUGCUAACGUCCGUCGUGGAGAGGGAAACAACCCAGACCGCCAGCUAAGGUCCCAAAGUCUAUAUUAAGUGGGAAACGAAGUGGGAAGGCUUAGACAGCUAGGAUGUUGGCUUAGAAGCAGCCAUCAUUUAAAGAAAGCGUAAUAGCUCACUAGUCGAGUCGGCCUGCGCGGAAGAUGUAACGGGGCUCAAAUAUAGCACCGAAGCUGCGGCAUCAGUAGCAAUACUGUUGGGUAGGGGAGCGUUCUGUAAGCGGAUGAAGGUGAAUCGAGAGGUUUGCUGGACGUAUCAGAAGUGCGAAUGCUGACAUAAGUAACGAUAAAACGGGUGAAAAACCCGUUCGCCGGAAGACCAAGGGUUCCUGUCCAACGUUAAUCGGGGCAGGGUGAGUCGGCCCCUAAGGCGAGGCUGAAAAGCGUAGUCGAUGGGAAACGGGUUAAUAUUCCCGUACUUGGAUAAACUGCGAUGUGGGGACGGAGCAGGUUAGGUUAUCGCACUGUUGGAUAUGUGCGUUUAAGUUUGUAGGUGGGAAGUUUAGGCAAAUCCGGACUUCUAUUAAACACUGAGAGAUGAUGACGAGGCUCUACGGAGCUGAAGUAACCGAUACCACACUUCCAGGAAAAGCCACUAAGCUUCAGGUUUAUCUAAACCGUACUGAAAACCGACACAGGUGGUCAGGUAGAGAAUACUCAGGCGCUUGAGAGAACUCGGGUGAAGGAACUAGGCAAAAUAGCACCGUAACUUCGGGAGAAGGUGCGCCGGCGUAGAUUGUAGUCCCUUGCGGGCGAAGGUUGAACCGGUCGAAGAUACCAGCUGGCUGCAACUGUUUAUUAAAAACACAGCACUCUGCAAACACGAAAGUGGACGUAUAGGGUGUGAUGCCUGCCCGGUGCUGGAAGGUUAAUUGAUGGUGUAAUCGAAAGAGAAGCUCCUGAUCGAAGCCCCAGUAAACGGCGGCCGUAACUAUAACGGUCCUAAGGUAGCGAAAUUCCUUGUCGGGUAAGUUCCGACCUGCACGAAUGG